rnacentral:rRNA from 1 species
AUUGAACGCUGGCGGCAUGCCUUACACAUGCAAGUCGAACGGUAACAGGUUAAGCUGACGAGUGGCGAACGGGUGAGUAAUGUAUCGGAACGUGCCCAGUCGUGGGGGAUAACUGCUCGAAAGAGCAGCUAAUACCGCAUACGACCUGAGGGUGAAAGCGGGGGAUCGCAAGACCUCGCGCGAUUGGAGCGGCCGAUAUCAGAUUAGGUAGUUGGUGAGGUAAAGGCUCACCAAGCCGACGAUCUGUAGCUGGUCUGAGAGGACGACCAGCCACACUGGGACGGAGACACGGCCCAGACUCCUACGGGAGGCAGCAGUGGGGAAUUUUGGACAAUGGGCGCAAGCCUGAUCCAGCCAUGCCGCGUGCGGGAAGAAGGCCUUCGGGUUGUAAACCGCUUUUGUCAGGGAAGAAAAGGUUCUGGCUAAUACCUGGGACUCAUGACGGUACCUGAAGAAUAAGCACCGGCUAACUACGUG